rnacentral:rRNA from 1 species
UACGUAGGGGGCAAGCGUUGUCCGGAUUUAUUGGGCGUAAAGAGCGUGUAGGCGGCCUGGAAGGUCAGCUGUGAAAACUCGAGGCUCAACCUCGAGACGUCGGUUGAAACCACCUGGCUAGAGUCCGGAAGAGGAGUGUGGAAUUCCCGGUGUAGCGGUGAAAUGCGCAGAUAUCGGGAAGAACACCCGUGGCGAAGGCGGUUCUCUGGGCAUUACCUGACGCUGAGGAGCGAAAGUGUGGGGAGCGAACAGG